rnacentral:rRNA from 1 species
CAAUGGCCGGUACANCGGGAAGCCAGGCGGCGACGCCGAGCGGAACCCGAAAACCGGUCCCAGUUCGGAUCGGAGUCUGCAACCCGACUCCGUGAAGCUGGAUUCGCUAGUAAUCGCGCAUCAGCCAUGGCGCGGUGAAUACGUUCCCGGGCCUUGUACACACCGCCCGUCAAGCCAUGGGAGCCGGGGGUGCUUGAAGUGCGUCGCCGCGAGGCGCGCCCUAGAGCAAAACCGGUGACUGGGGCUAAGUCGUAACAAGGUACC